AGGACUUUUGGGGUUUUAACUCCCAACCCCAAUGUGAACGUUACCAAUCUGUUGCCUCGGCGGGAUUCUCUUGCCCCGGGCGCGUCGCAGCCCCGGAUCCCAUGGCGCCCGCCGGAGGACCAACUCCAAACUCUUUUUUUCUCUCCGUCGCGGCUCCCGUCGCGGCUCUGUUUUACUUUUGCUCUGAGCCUUUCUCGGCGACCCUAGCGGGCGUCUCGAAAAUGAAUCAAAACUUUCAACAACGGAUCUCUUGGUUCUGGCAUCGAUGAAGAACGCAGCGAAAUGCGAUAAGUAAUGUGAAUUGCAGAAUUCAGUGAAUCAUCGAAUCUUUGAACGCACAUUGCGCCCGCCAGUAUUCUGGCGGGCAUGCCUGUCCGAGCGUCAUUUCAACCCUCGAACCCCUCCGGGGGGUCGGCGUUGGGGAUCGGCCCCUCACCGGGCCGCCCCCGAAACACAAUGGCGGGCUCGCCGCAGCCUCUCCCGCGCAAUAUUUUGCACACUCCCACCGGGAGCGCGGCACGGCC
rnacentral:rRNA from 1 species